UAGGGAAUCUUCCGCAAUGGACGAAAGUCUGACGGAGCAACGCCGCGUGAGUGAAGAAGGAUUUCGGUUCGUAAAACUCUGUUGUUAGGGAAGAAAAAAUGUAUAGUAACUAUAUACAAAAGAGACGGUACCUAACCAGAAAGGGACGGCUAACUACGUGCCAGCAGCCGCGGUAAUACGUAGGUCCCGAGCGUUGUCCGGAUUUAUUGGGCGUAAAGCGAGCGCAGGCGGUUAGAAAAGUCUGAAGUGAAAGGCAGUGGCUCAACCAUUGUAGGCUUUGGAAACUGUUUAACUUGAGUGCAGAAGGGGAGAGUGGAAUUCCAUGUGUAGCGGUGAAAUGCGUAGAUAUAUGGAGGAACACCGGUGGCGAAAGCGGCUCUCUGGUCUGUAACUGACGCUGAGGCUCGAAAGCGUGGGGAGCGAACAGG
rnacentral:rRNA from 1 species